CCCAUGUGCAUGUCCAGUAGCCUUCAUAAGAUCAGACAUAGCCCAGACCAGUCAUGUCUUGUUAGUCUACCUUGCCUCAUCCACACAGAUUCUGCUUGCGUUUUAAGAUCUCUCCAUUCAUACAAAAAGGAAAGGUUAGUGACUGGAAGAACAAUUUCACGGUGGCCCGGAGCGAACAGUUUGAUGAAGACUAUAAGAAGAAGAUGAUGAACACCGUACAGUUCCGCACUGUAGUCUAGGAGUUGUGGUCAAGUUGAUUGUCUGAUUGUUUGUGGUCAGGUUGAUUGAUUGAGUAUUUGGCGCACAUAGACUUACGAUAGGCUUGGCUGGGGUGUCAGUCUUCCAUUGGUCCACAGUUAACUGGGUUAUAGUGUUGAAUAUACAGGGUGAGGAUCAUAUUGUAUCAUAUCCUGGAGUGUGAAUGAGAAAGAUCAUGAAGUGUCUUAUAUCAUUUUUUGAGAAUGAUUGAUGCUAUUUUGAGAUAUGAGCUAUAGGUUGAGAACUAAAAACAAAAGUAAAAUGAGGACAUGCUGCACAGAACAUUCUUAGCAAUGUGAGCUAUUUGUAAAUCCUCUUGCCUGGUCUGUUUUUCAGAGUCUGAGAAAAAAACAGUGCGAGUCGAUACAGUAAUAAAUAUGUAAAUAGGGAAGAG